ACUCAACACUAACAAAUUAAAGUGAGUGAAUCGUCGCUACUAUAGUACGUCCCGAUUUUAUUGGGAAAACUUGAACAGUGAGUUAGCUCAAAACUUGUCUUUACGAGUUU
rnacentral:sRNA from 1 species